UAAAUAUUUUAUUACAGAUCAUAUAAAAAUGAAAGAGAAUAUCGAGAAUAUCGAGAAACAUCGAGAGAACGAUCUCGAGAUAGAAGAGAACGAGAAAGAUCUAGAGAACAUAGAAUAAUUCCAUCUUAUAUUGAACAAAUUCCUGUUCCUGUUUAUUAUGGGAAUUUUCCACCAAGGCCAAUAAUGGUUAGACCUUGGGUUCCAAUGCGUGGCCAAGUACCAGGAUCUAGGCAUAUUGGUCCAUUAACACCAUUUCCACCACGAUUUAUUCCUCCAGAUAUGUAUAGACUUCGUCCACCUCCAAAUCCUAGAUUUGGACCUAUGUAUUAAUGAAAAAUGUGAAAAUCUUAUAAUAGAAAGUUAUAUGAAUAAUGAAUAAUGAAUUGAAUAAUAUUGAAUAAUAAAAUAUGAGAUGACAUUUGACAAAAAAUAAGAAUUCUAAAAUCUCAUGGUCAUGAUCGAAAUUGGACAACUGAUGGCUCACAAGUCAACUAUACAUUAUUUCGUUUGUACAAAAAAUUGUAAAAAAAUGUCUUCUUUCAUACUUUUAAAGAAUUUUGUUUUUAGAUGAUUCAAGAAUUUUUCCUCCAUUAAUGAAGUACAUAAUAAAAUUUUUUAAUUGUUUCACUAUUUAUAAUCAUAUUUCAUAUAUUUUGUUUUACGUAACUAUAUAUAUAAUAAUGGUUAGUAUAUUUAUGCUAAAAAUCAAUUAAUUAAAAGUCAUACAAUUCCUCGAAGAAAACGAGGAGAACUGUUUAAUUGAGAAUCAGAGAGCUCACAGAAAGGAAAAAGU